GAUGGUGGAUGCUUCAUGGAUC
rnacentral:siRNA from 1 species